CAUCAUCAAUCAUAAAAAAUUAUGAACUACAGUUGAAAGAGAUUUAAAAGUUAAAUGGCACCAAAACUAUACAAAGUUAACUCUCUCUUCUCUGUGAGAGACCUUCUUCCCCCCCCCCCGUUUUGGUGAGGGUCUUUCUCUUGCCCACCUUCUUCGACGCUGACUCUAGCUUCGGCUAGAGUUGGUCGCCCCUUCUCCCUUCCUCCUCCUGUUUUCUCCUCAUUUUCCCUUCUCUGCUAGUUCUUCUUUCUUCUAUAUUUCUUCUUCUUCUUCUUCUUUUCUUUUUGCUUCUUCCGAUGCUUCUCCCUUUUCUCCCCUGCUCUCAUUUCCGAUCUGGCCAUUUCUUCCUACCCCCAGUGGCGUUCCUCCUUGUUCAUCUCUGCUCCGAUUUGCAGCAGUUUCAAAACUGCGAUUUGUUGCGGUACUUUGAGAUGGUGUGUAGAGUUCCGGUGGUCCCACCUGCUCGGGUGUUCAACACCACCACCUUCUCACUGUCUCUGCCUUUUCUGGCAGUGUUGUUCAUGGGUUGCCACGAACUUCAUCUUGAUAAUUGGCUUCUUCCGACCACUUGCUGGCUAUCCUUUCUUUGUGGUUGUGCUCGGGAUGUUCAUUGAGGUGAGAUGCUGCAUUUACUCUGGCGAUGCUUGGCUAUGGACGAGGACUUGUCGGAUCGAGAUCGGCGACGACUGGUGUAGAACUUUUUGGUGUUUGUGGUCUUUUGUGCGUUUUGGGCUUCAACUUAUGGUUGACCCUUUGUAGUUUGUUUUUUGGGCCCGUAUUUUGCUUGUUUAUUUGUGUUGUUUGGGCCUUGGGUUUGCUUAUAUGUAUGGUUUAGUUUGUAAUAAAAGUGAAGAAGUCUUUUUCCAAAAAAAAAAAAACUUUAUAAAGUUAAUGAAUAUUAUUCAUAUCAACAAUUCACAAAACAAAAACACAUAACUAACAAAUUUGGC
rnacentral:lncRNA from 1 species